rnacentral:tRNA from 1 species
GACGGGAUGGCCGAGUGGUUAAGGCGGCAGUUUAGAAAGCUGCUUCACUUUGUGAGUGUGAGUUCAAAUCUCACUUCUGUUG